rnacentral:rRNA from 1 species
UACGUAGGGGGCGAGCGUUGUCCGGAAUGAUUGGGCGUAAAGGGCGCGUAGGCGGCCUGUCAAGUCAGUAGUGGAAGUCCAUCUUUCAAGGAUGGAAGUGCUACAGAAACUGAUGGGCUUGAGUGCAGGAGAGGUUAUCGGAAUUCCCGGUGUAGCGGUGAAAUGCGUAGAGAUCGGGAGGAACACCAGUGGCGAAGGCGGGUAACUGGACUGCAACUGACGCUGAGGCGCGAAAGUGUGGGGAGCAAACAGGAUUAGAUACCCU